AGGGCCGCGGGGCUGGGCCUCUACCCGGACCCCUCCUCCUUCCCGGGACGGGGUCUCCUCCUCCUCCUCCUCAUCCCCUUCCUCCUCCUCCUCCCCAGGCUAGGGUCUCCUCUUCCCCUUCCUCCUCCUCCUCCUCCUCCUCCUCCUCAGGUUGGGGUCUCCUCCUCCUCCUCGUCCUUCUCCUUCUCCUCCUCAGGUUGGGCUCUCCUCCUCCUCUUCCUCCCCAGGCUGGGGUCUCUUCCUCUUCCUCCUGCUCCCCAGGUUGGGGUCUCCUCCUUUUUCUCCUCAGGUUAGGCUCUCCUCCUCCUCUUCCUCCCCAGGCUGGGGUCUCUUCCUCUUCCUCCUCCUCCCCAGGCUGGGGUCUCCUCCUCCUCUUCCACUAGGCUGGGGCCUUCUCUUCCUCCUCCUCCCCAAGCUGGGGACUUCUCCUCUUUCUCUUCCUCCUCUUCCUCCUCAGGCUGGGGUCUCUUCCUCUUCCUCCUCCUCCCCAGGCUGGGGUCUCCUCCUCCUCUUCCACUAGGCUGGGGCCUUCUCUUCCUCCUUCUCCCCAAGCUGGGGACUUCUCCUCUUUCUCUUCCUCCUCCUCCUCCCCAGGCUGGGGUCUCCUCCUCCUCUUCUCUAGGCUGGGGCCUUCUCUUCCUCCUCCUCCCCAAGCUGGGGACUUCUCCUCCUCCUCCUCCUCCUCCUCCUCCUCCUCCUACUCCCCAGGCUGGGGUCUCCUCCUUCUUCUCCCCAGGCUGGGGUCUCCUCUUCUCUAGGUUGGGGUCUACUCCUCUUCCUCCCCAGGCUGGGGACUUCUCUUUCUCCUCCUCCUCCCCAGGCUGGGGUCUCCUCCUCUUCUUCUCUAGGCUGGGGCCUUCUCUUCCUCCUCCUCCCCAGGCUGGGGUCUCCUCCUCCUCCCCAGGCUGGGGUCUCCUCCUCCUCUUCUCUAGGUUGGGGUCUACUCUUCCUCCCCAGGCUGGGAACUUCUCUUUCUCCUCCUCCUCCCUGUCCUCCCCAGUCUUCCUCACUGGAUGUGUUCUGUCUCUCCUCCGCCCACACCCCUUUCUCUGGCUGCUCACUCACAAACUCAGACCUCCCGCUCUGGGCUUCUGUGAGGAGGGCUUGCUAACCCAGCCAAAGGCAUUUACUUGGUUCAUCCCCCUUCCUCCCCCUGACUGAGGUUUCACUGGACCGGAGGGCCGAUGCCAAUGGCAUUUCCCAGCCACCCUCCGUGGGGUCACCGUUGCCUCCACUUUCCUGGCAGUGGUCACUCUUUGUGUCCCUGGGGUCAGUUCCCAAAGUGGUGUGGCCUGGAGCAGCCAGUGUGCAGCCCUGGCCGAAGGUGGCUACUGAGGAAUUGAGGUCCUGUGACCGAUAGCCCUGUGUCAUCUGCCCUGACACCUUUGUGGGGUCAAGAGCUGGCUUCGCCGCCUGGCCAGGUUGCUGGGUCUUUCUGUGUCUUGGUUUCUGUGAAUGGGCGUGGAAAGUGGCCUCUUAGACUCAGGGCAGGGGAGCAAAGCUGACCAGCAGGCUGGGGUUCUAUAUGGUUGUACCUUUGGGUGUUGGCUUUUUUUUUUUAAUUUAAUUUUUAAAACAUAUUUCAUCUUAAUGUAUACGGGCAUUUUGCUUGCACCUUUGGGUAUGUACCAUACUUGGGG